CCGCUGCACGGAGGUCAGCUCUAGCAGUGAUCUCAGCAGCAAGGAAAAAGACGGCGUUUAAUGGCUGUGACUUCCUCACUGAAUGGCUGUACAAUAAAAACCCUCGGGCAGAGCGAACACCUACACAUUUUCAUUCAAUCCCUUUCGUCCAGAAAUGGCUUCUUGAACA